rnacentral:rRNA from 1 species
UACGAAGGGGGCUAGCGUUGCUCGGAAUUACUAGGCGUAAAGGGAGCGUAGGCGGACAUUUAAGUCAGGGGUGAAAUCCCAGAGCUCAACUCUGGAACUGCCUUUGAUACUGGAUGUCUUGAGUGUGAGAGAGGUAUGUGGAACUCCGAGUGUAGAGGUGAAAUUCGUAGAUAUUCGGAAGAACACCAGUGGCGAAGGCGACAUACUGGCUCAUUACUGACGCUGAGGCUCGAAAGCGUGGGGAGCAAACAGG